rfam:Otolemur garnettii contig000119, whole genome shotgun sequence.
GCCUGGCAUGGUGGUGUGCACCUGUCAUCCCAGCUAAUGGUAAGUCUGAGAUAGGGGACUUUCUUGAUCUUAGGAGUUUGGGGGUGUAGUACACUAUGCCAGUUGGUUGUCCACACUCAGUUCAUCAUCAAUAUGGUAACUUCCUGGAACUUGGGGCCACCAGGUUGCUUAAAAAGGGGAACUGACCAACAUCAAAGUGGAACAGGUCAAAGCCCCCAUGCUGAUCAGUAGUGAAGUUCCACCUGUGGAUAUAUAUUCCAGCCUGAGCAAUAUAGCAAGCCUUAUUUAUU